GGGGGCGAUAGGUAUCGACAGGGAAGACAGAGGUAAGAGAUGCGAGCCGAGGUUCCUGGUCCUCGUAAAACACUGGGAAAAACAAUAAUUGCCAACAAUAACGAAUUGGCAUUAGCAGCUUAAUAUAGGCUGCUCAUCUGUAAGAAGCCUUGCCGGUAAGCUUUUUGCAGGUGUAAUAUGUUACCGGCUAUCUGUAUCAACUGCUCCGAUUGAUAUAGAGAAAAAUUAGGAGCUAGUGUUACUUAAAUCCAGUCUAGGGGAGUUAAGUAAUGCGAAAAGAAAAACAUAGACUACGCUCGUAGUAUUUCUUACUAACGAUUCUCUGGACGCGAGUUCGAUUCUCGCCGCCUCCACCA
rnacentral:tmRNA from 1 species